GGCUGCUGAACAACACUUUCAGCUGGGCAGCUGUUGGGUAAAGGUGGUGCAAGUUAUAUUCAUUACAACUAAUUUCAUAUGCGCCAUAGCCGGGCAACUUUAUUUCGCAAUAACUAAUUGAAAUGCAGUUUUUGUGCAAAUCCCCUUUUUAAAGUUGGCUGUUGGCCAUUGGCUUUGUUAAGCUGCGGUUGGUUAUUUCCAAAGAAUAAGUUUUACGGCCAAUUGCAUAUAAAAAAACUAAUUUAAAUGUUGCAAUCGAGAAUACGGCACUGUCGGUACACAGCGCUCGUUACCUUUUGAUGAAAACUAUCAAGUUCAUGGAGGAUAAUUAACAAAAGCAGCGCCAACAACCUGAACCCCUCGACUCCACCCUCCUCCACACCAAACCAUCCCCGCAACGUUCAUUUUUGUACAUGUAGCCCAAAAAUAGAUAUUUAAUUUGACUUUUGGUGGCCAACGCAAGUGGCAGGGGCAAUCACCCUCGUGUUGGGGUUCAGUUACACUCCGGCUUAAAGUUUUGAUCCUGGGCUGGCUUUGCAGCUGCCUAGGACCCCACUCGCUCAAUGGCAUUAUUCUAGGAAAACGCUAUGGCUAUAGCAUAAGCUUGAUCGACAUUCGAUAUUUGGAAUCCUUACCAUCCCGCCACUCAUCCUCAGCGGCUACAAUGCUGAUCACUACGAUAAUUGAGGCUGCGUUUUUGAAGUUAAGCCCUUCGUUAGGAACUGCUGAAAUAUUUGCAACUGAUUGCCCAUUACAAAUGGGUUAAAAGCGAGUUAUAUGCACAUGUACAAAGCGGACAGAAGGAGCCAUCUCCGUCUCUAUCUAGCUUAUAGAAUUUUCAUUGGCAUCGCCAUAACUGAUCACAUUCAAAGAUUAUCAGCUGACAGUUCGAAAGUUAGUUUGUAAACAAUACACUUAUAUUGUUAACACAAUAGCAGGCGGAAAAUAUCAUAUUUUGUAUUAAUCACAUGCCUUUUAAAUAAAGCCAGUAUGAGUAUGAGUAUGACGAGCUAAGUCAUGAUCGAUUUGGAUAUUAUUAUAUAUAUUAUAUAUGGAGUGUGUAUUUGAGUGAAUAUUUGA